rnacentral:rRNA from 1 species
CAGCCGCCGCGGUAAUACGAGGGGUGCAAGCGUUAUUCGGAUUGAUUGGGUGUAAAGGGUGUGCAGACGGCUUAUUAAGUCACUUGUUAAAUUCUUCGGCCUAACUGAAGGUCUGCAAGUGAUACUGAUGAGCUAGAGGGUGGAAGAGAGAAGUGGAAUUCUCGGAGUAGCGGUAAAAUGCGUAGAUCUCGAGAGGAACACCAAUGGCGAAGGCAGCUUCUUGGUCCAUUCCUGACGUUCAUACACGAAAGCGUGGGGAGCGAACAGGAUUAGAUACCCCUGUAGUCCCUGUCUCUUAUAC